CAAAUUUAGGGUUUUAAGCAGUGUUUAGAUGAUGUUUCACUCUAUUAAUUUUACUUUUGCUUGGUGUCAUUUUCCUGCUUUCUCCAUGAUUAUGAUUUAUGUUAUCCCAAGUGGGAAAAUACGGUAUUCUAUGUAUGUGAUUGCUGUCUGUCAAAGUUUCCAGGGUUAAUUCCUAAGGCCUGUCUAUCUGUCAGUUUUCCCCCUCCUCUCCCGAGUACUUCCUUUUAUAGCCCAUAUCUCAUCAUUCAACAUUGCCUUGCCGCUUUGGACGGCAAGAAAAACCAAGUUUAAGGAGCAUUGGCGCAGGCCAUCUUACUUAUGAAGUGGAAAUGGUUAGUUGGGUUAGUGUACUUGGCUUGCAGUUGCAUAGGGUCCAUUAUUUACAGUCUCUCCAGUCCUCAGACGCCCAUUUCUUUUCCUUGGCAGACGAAUUAAGAAGAGUGUGCCUUGUCAUUGCAUUGGCCUUGAUUCCAUUCUCUAAUAUAUAGAUAUAGCUUUGCUUCCAGGCUCAGGCUCAGGCUCCUGCAUUUCUAAUGUUAAAAUUUUAAUUUCUUCAAGUGGAGUCAGCUGUCAGCCCCCAUCUGAUGAAAUGAAACAAUUUACGAUGCUCUGCAAGACAUGGUAAAGGUUAAAGGCUCCAUGUCGGUACGAUGAGAGCAAGUAGUAAGAGAACAAUGAAAGCUAGCAGUUGAGACAGUGAAUGGUUUGGUGCACGUGUUGGCAUGUGUAUGCUUGGCCGCUGCACACUGCUGGACUGCUCACACCUCGAAAUUUGACAAUAGCUUGAAGCAUGACCAUCACUAGCCAAUAGCAGAAGCGGUAAAGUUACUUUCUCGCUAUAUUAAGGUUCAAUCCGCUUCGAUUCAAUUUUUCCUCGCCCCAAAUAACCUGAAUUUGAUCUUGGUCUGAUGUGCCUUUUAUCAAUAUCCAUGGUUUUAACAUAAACGAAAUUCUUAUCUUCCAUUUCAAGGAUCCUUUAAUUGGACAUUUUCCAUGGAUAUAAAUUGUGGUUGUAAUGGAUGUUUUAAAUUUAGGCUUAUAGAAACUAUAAGUUGAUAAGAACAUAUGUUCCUUUGACAAAACUCUACAAUAGUAUCUUGAGAGAUUCAUCUGUUACUCCUCUUGGACAAAAUAGUGGAAAAUAUCAUUGCUUGGAGAAA